rnacentral:rRNA from 1 species
CCUACGGGGGGCUGCAGUGGGGAAUAUUGGGCAAUGGAGGAAACUCUGACCCAGCCAUGCCGCGUGAGUGAUGAAGGCCUUAGGGUUGUAAAGCUCUUUUGUCAGGGAAGAUAAUGACGGUACCUGAAGAAUAAGCACCGGCUAACUUCGUGCCAGCAGCCGCGGUAAUACGAAGGGUGCUAGCGUUGUUCGGAAUUACUGGGCGUAAAGCGCGCGUAGGCUGCGUCGCAAGUCAGUGGUGAAAUCCCGGGGCUUAACCUCGGAACUGCCAUUGA